rnacentral:rRNA from 1 species
GACGAACGCUGGCGGCGUGCCUAAUACAUGCAAGUCGAACGCAGUGGGGACGGGUGAGUAACACGUGGGUAACCUCCCAUCAGAGGGGAUAACACUUGGAAACAGGUGCUAAACCGAUACUGAAUGAUGGAACCGCGGUGCAUUAGCUAGUUGGUGGGGUAACGGCUUACCAAGGCCACGAUGCAUAGCCGGCCUGAGAGGGUGACCGGCCACACUGGGACUGAGACACGGCCCGGACUCCUACGGGAGGCAGCAGUAGGGAAUAUUGGGCAAUGGACGAAAGUCUGACGGAGCAACGCCGCGUGAGUGAAGAAGGUUUUCGGAUCGUAAAACUCUGUUGUUAGAGAAGCGGUAUCUAACCAAAAAGCAACGGCUAACUACGUGCCAGCAGCCGCGGUAAUAC